rnacentral:tRNA from 1 species
ACCUGGGUGACUCAGUCGGUUGAGUGUCUGACUUUGGCCCAGGUCAUGAUCCUGCGCUUUGUGGGUUUGAGUCCCACGUCGGGCU